rnacentral:rRNA from 1 species
AUGUGGACUCAUCUUCGUCAGCGCUAUCAGCCCUCUGGUGAUGCUCUCUACUUGUCUGUGGUCCGUCAGGAGCAUGCUCUUCAGCAGGGAGACUCCACUAUUGAUGAGUUCUACACUCAGAGUUCUGCUAUCUGGCGCCAGCUUGACUCCCUUCGCACUACUGUUUGUGGCACUUGCCCGUGUUGCCAGACUAUGAGGUCAGAUUUGGAGUUUCAGCGCGUCUAUGAGUUCUUGUCACGGCUCCGUGGGGAGUUUGAGCCUCGACGUGCUCAGUUGUUUGCUCGUGGUCGUGUUCCUAUUUCUGAGGUGCUUUCUGAGCUUCGUGCUGAGGAGACUCGCCUCCGUGGUGCUGGUUUGCUUCAGGUUCCCUCUGUGCUCGCUGCUCGAGCUACUACUCCUCCAGUGUCUUCUCACUCUAGUGCUCCCCCGCUACUUCCCACUCCUCUGGGUAGCCGCUCUCGUCCUCGUACUCAUUGUGACUACUGCAACAAGGAUGGUCACCCCGAGUCUGACUGCUUCAAGAAGAAGCGUGAUAUGCGUAAUAGGGAGCGCAAUUCUUCUUCUGGGACUCGUGCUUCUUCCUCGACGCCGUCUACUGUCUCCUUGACUAAGCAAGAUAUUAUGAAUCUCAAGCGUCUACUUGCUGCUUCAGGUUCUUCGACGGGUAUCGCAGGCUCUGUGACUGGUGCUUCUAGUGCUGAGCGACCACUAUCUACACAGUCAGGUACAUCCCCAUGGGUUCUGGAUUCUGGAGCUUCAUUUCAUAUGUCCUCCGAUUCUUCUAUCUUGUCCUCUUGUAGAUCUCUCGAUUUUUCCUAUUAA